rnacentral:rRNA from 1 species
AUACGUAGAGUGCAAACGUUGUUCGGAAUCACUGGGCAUAAAGGGCCCGUAGGUGGCGCGGAUAGUCGGUUGUGAAAUCCCCUGGCUCAACCAGGGAACUGCAGCCGAAACUCCCGUGCUUGAGUGCGAGAGGGGAGAGUGGAACUUCGAGUGGAGCGGUGAAAUGCGUAGAUAUUCGAAGGAACGCCGGUGGCGAAAGCGACUCUCUGGAUCGUUACUGACACUGAGGGGCGAAAGCUAGGGUAGCGAACGGGAUUAGAAACCCCAGUAGUCC